rnacentral:rRNA from 1 species
UACGUAGGGGGGCUAGCGUUGUCCGGAAUCAUUGGGCGUAAAGCGCGCGUAGGCGGCCCGGUAAGUCCGCUGUAAAAGUCCAGGGCUCAACCCUGGAACGCCGGUGGAUACUGUCGGGCUAGAGUCCGGAAGAGGCGAGUGGAAUUCCUGGUGUAGCGGUGGAAUGCGCAGAUAUCAGGAGGAACACCGGUGGCGAAGGGCGGCCUUCGUGGACAGUGACUGACGCUGAGACGCGAAAGCGUGGGGAGCAAACAGG